rnacentral:lncRNA from 10 species
GGGAGUGUGUGCGCGCUGGGGGCGCGCGUGCCUGUCGGUGGCCCCGCGGCCCGGCGCGGCGGAGCGUGCAAGCCCGGCGGGGCGCACGUGGCCGCGCCCGGGAGCUGGCAACUGGCUUCGGGCCCCGCACGGCGCCCCGUGAGGCUGUUGCCGGGACCCCGGCCCCGAAGCCGCCCCGGGGAAGUAGUUCCACGCAGUUUGCGCGCGCCGCGGGAGCUUGCAACAGCCUCACCGCUCGCAGCGCCUCGAGGCUUGCAGUGCCCAGGGGCCGACAAGGUCCACCUUUGGACCGCGUUCCCCCGCGCCCCUCUGUUCCUCUGCCAUGCGGAGCUUUGUAUUUGCCUCUUCUGAAGUCCCUGCGUCCGGCCGAGACGCUGGCCCGAAGCCCCACUCCCUGUCAGGCCCCUGUCGCGGGAGGGAACAGUAGAGAAAGGGCGUGGCAUAACUAAAUGCCCCCAGGCCAGACUCUGAGCUUCUGCUGGCGGACUCCUCCUGGGAUCCUCCUCUCCCCUAGAGUCUAAAUAGGGCGUUUCCUUAGGGAAGUUGCUAUUCAAAUUCUGGCGACCACAUGCCCGCAUUAAAACCUCGUGCCUCAGCUCCUUCAUCUCCAAAAUGGGGCUCAUCCUCCCA